rnacentral:rRNA from 1 species
GACGAACGCUGGCGGCGUGCCUAACACAUGCAAGUCAACUUGACUGAAGGAGCAAUCUGACAGUAGAGUGGCGCAAGGGUGCGUAACGCGUAAGUAACUUGCCCAAGGUAAGGAAUAACGUCGAGAAAUCGGCGCUAAUACCUCAUAAUGCAGCGGAUCCGCAUGGAUAUGUUGUUAAAGGUUUACCGCCUUGGGAUAGGCUUUGCGUCUGAUUAGCUAGUUGGUGUGGUAACGGCACACCAAGGCUACGAUCAGUAACUGGUCUGAGAGGAUGAUCAGUCACACUGGAACUGAGACACGGUCCAGACUCCUACGGGAGGCAGCAGUGAGGAAUAUUGGGCAAUGCUCGAAAGAGUGACCCAGCAACGCCGCGUGGAGGAUGAAGGUAUUCUAUAUCGUAAACUCCUGUGAGAGCAGACGAAAGACAGAUUAUUAAUCUGGAUGACUGUAUGCUCAGAGGAAG